rnacentral:rRNA from 1 species
AGGUUGGCUUAGAAGCAGCCAUCCUUUAAAGAAAGCGUAAUAGCUCACUAGUCGAGUCGGCCUGCGCGGAAGAUUUAACGGGGCUAAACUGAUAACCGAAGCUGCGGACGCAUACUUGUAUGCGUGGUAGAGGAGCGUUCUGUAAGCCGUUGAAGGUGCAUUGUAAAGUGUGCUGGAGGUAUCAGAAGUGCGAAUGCUGACGUGAGUAACGAUAAAGCGGGUGAAAAACCCGCUCGCCGGAAGAUCAAGGUUUCCUGUCCAACGCUAAUCGGGACAGGGUUAGUCGGUACCUAAGGCGAGGCCGAAAGGCGUAGUCGAUGGAAAACAGGUUAAUAUUCCUGUACCGCUAUAUACUGCGAUGGGGGGACGGAGAAGGCUAGGUGAUCAGGGCGAUGGUUGUCCCUGUACAAGCUUGUAGGGAGAUCUCUUAGGUAAAUCCGGGAGAUCAUUAUCCUGAGGAGUGAUGUCGAGCUCAAUUGCGAGCGAAGUCAUUAAUGCCAUGCUUCCAAGAAAAGCCUCUAAGCUUCAGGUAUAUAGAGACCGUACUCCAAACCGACACAGGUGAUCAGGUAGAGAAUACCAAGGCGCUUGAGAGAACUAUGGUGAAGGAACUAGGCAAAAUGGUGCCGUAACUUCGGGAGAAGGCACGCCGAUUUUGGUGAUGGGAUUUACUCCCUAAGCUGAGGUUGGCCGCAGAGACCAGGCCCCUGCGACUGUUUAUCUAAAACACAGCACUCUGCAAACUCGUAAGAGGAAGUAUAGGGUGUGACGCCUGCCCGGUGCCGGAAGGUUAAUUGAUGGGGUUAGCUUCGGCGAAGCUCUUGAUCGAAGCCCCGGUAAACGGCGGCCGUAACUAUAACGGUCCUAAGGUAGCGAAAUUCCUUGUCGGGUAAGUUCCGACCUGCACGAAUGGCGUAACGACGGGGGCGCUGUCUCCACCAUAGACUCAGUGAAAUCGAAAUCGCGGUGAAGAUGCCGUGUUCCCGCGGCUAGACGGAAAGACCCCGUGAACCUUUACUAUAGCUUGGCACUGAACUUUGAAUCUAUCUGUGUAGGAUAGGUGGGAGGCUUUGAAGCGUUAUCGCUAGAUAGCGUGGAGCCACCCUUGAAAUACCACCCUGGUAUAUUUGAGGUUCUAACUCUGACCCAUUAUCUGGGUCGAGGACAGUGUCUGGUGGGUAGUUUGACUGGGGCGGUCUCCUCCCAAAGAGUAACGGAGGAGCGCGAAGGUACACUCAGCAUGGUCGGAAAUCAUGCUAUGAGCGCAAAGGUAGAAGUGUGCUUGACUGCGAGACUGACACGUCGAGCAGGUACGAAAGUAGGUCUUAGUGAUCCGGUGGUUCUGUAUGGAAGGGCCAUCGCUCAACGGAUAAAAGGUACUCUGGGGAUAACAGGCUGAUUCCUCCCAAGAGUUCAUAUCGACGGGGGAGUUUGGCACCUCGAUGUCGGCUCAUCACAUCCUGGGGCUGUAGUCGGUCCCAAGGGUAUGGCUGUUCGCCAUUUAAAGUGGUACGUGAGCUGGGUUUAAAACGUCGUGAGACAGUUUGGUCCCUAUCUGCCGUGGGCGUUGGAAGUUUGAAGGGGGCUGUUCCUAGUACGAGAGGACCGGAAUGGACAGAUCUCUGGUGGACCGGUUGUUACGCCAGUAGCAUAGCCGGGUAGCUAAAUCUGGAAGAGAUAAACGCUGAAAGCAUCUAAGCGUGAAACUUGCCCUAAGAUGAGACUUCCCUUGCACUUUAAGUGCACUAAAGAGUCGUUCAAGACCAGGACGUUGAUAGGUCAGGUGUGGAAGUGCAGUAAUGCAUGAAGCUAACUGAUACUAAUUGCUCGUGAGGCUUGAUC